GAAAAUUUAGUUUAUUAAAAACAUUAGUUUGUCACACUAAAAUUAUUAAUUAUUUAAUAAUUUUCA
rnacentral:tRNA from 1 species